CCAGACUCCUACGGGAGGCAGCAGUGAGGAAUAUUGGUCAAUGGGCGGGAGCCUGAACCAGCCAAGUCGCGUGAGGGAAGACGGUCCUAUGGAUUGUAAACCUCUUUAGGCGGGGAGCAAUGCCGGGCACGCGUGUCCGGAGGGAGAGUACCCGCAGAAUAAGCAUCGGCUAACUCCGUGCCAGCAGCCGCGGUAAUACGGAGGAUGCGAGCGUUAUCCGGAUUUAUUGGGUUUAAAGGGUGCGUAGGCGGAUUUUUAAGUCAGCGGUAAAAUGUCCGGGCUCAACCCGGGCCGGCCGUUGAAACUGGGGAUCUAGAGUGUGCGAGAGGUAUGCGGAAUGCGUGGUGUAGCGGUGAAAUGCAUAGAUAUCACGCAGAACCCCGAUUGCGAAGGCAGCAUACCGGUGCACAACUGACGCUCAGGCACGAAAGCGUGGGUAUCGAACAGGAUUAGAUACCCUUGUAA
rnacentral:rRNA from 1 species